rnacentral:rRNA from 1 species
CAGGGAUUGCCUCAGUAACGGCGAGUGAAGCGGCAACAGCUCAAAUUUGAAAUCUGACCCCUGCGGGGCCCGAGUUGUAAUUUGUAGAGGGUGUUUCGGGCGCGGCGCCGGUCUAAGUUCCUUGGAACAGGACGUCUCAGAGGGUGAGAAUCCCGUAUGUGACCGGUGAUCAAGCCCAUGUGAAGCCCCUUCCGACGAGUCGAGUUGUUUGGGAAUGCAGCUCAAAAUGGGUGGUAAAUUCCAUCUAAAGCUAAAUAUUGGCCGGAGACCGAUAGCGGACAAGUAGAGUGAUCGAAAGAUGAAAAGCACUUUGGAAAGAGAGUUAAACAGUUCVVVAAAUUGUUGAAAGGGAAGCGCUUGCAAUCAGACCGGUCCGGGGGUGAUCAGCCGCUGCUCGUCAGCUGGUGCACUCGCCCCCGAUCCGGCCAGCAUCGGUUUGGGCGGUGGGAUAAAAGCCCCGGGAAUGUAGCUUCUUUCGGGGAGUCUUAUACCCCGGGGUGCAAUGCUGCCCGCCUGGACCGAGGACCGCGCUUCGGCUAGGAUGCUGGCGUAAUGGUUGCAAGCGACCCGUCUUGAAACACGGACCAAGGAGUCUAACAUCUAUGCGAGUGUUUGGGUGUCAAACCCAGGCGCGGAAUGAAAGUGAACGUAGGUGGGAGCCUGUCAAACGGUGCACCAUCGACCGAUCCAGAUGUCUUCGGAUGGAUUUGAGUAUGAGCAUAGCUGUUGGGACCCGAAAGGUGGUGAACUAUGCCCGGAUAGGGUGAA